rnacentral:lncRNA from 1 species
UAGUCUGGAUGAUUGCAUAGAGUACAUUCAAGAAGACGAGCUUGUUGAAGUUACUCCAUCAAGUAUCCGGAUGUUGAAAAACCCAAAGUCUGCCAAAAAGACGCGAUGAAGGUUUACAUAGAACGAGGCAAAGAGACGCGAUGAAGUAUACAUGAUACGAGAACGAGGCAAAUAGACACAAUGAAGUAUCAAGUAUCCGGAUGUUGAAAAACCCGAAGUCUGCCAAAAAGACACGAUGAAUGUGUACAUAGAACGAGGCGAAGAGACGCAAUGAAGUAUGCAUGGUACGAGAACGGCAAAGAGACAUGAUGAAGUAUACAUGGUAGGCGCCAAUAUAUAUGUCAUCCCAACUCCUUAAUUCAUU